AGCGAACGUUAGUGGCGGGCCUAACACAUGCAAGUCGAACGCGAAAGGUCUUCGGACUGAGUAGAGUGGCGCACGGGUGAGUAACACGUAGGUAAUCUACCCUUUGGCGGGGGAUAACGUUCCGAAAGGAGCGCUAAUACCGCAUAAGACCACGGAGUCUCCGGACGCUGUGGGAAAAGGUGGCCUCUUCUUGAAAGCUACCACCGAAGGAUGAGCCUGCGUCCCAUCAGCUAGUUGGUAAGGUAAUGGCUUACCAAGGCGAAGACGGGUAGCUGGUUUGAGAGAAUGAUCAGCCACACUGGCACUGGAACACGGGCCAGACUCCUACGGGAGGCAGCAGUGAGGAAUAUUGGGCAAUGGGCGAAAGCCUGACCCAGCCACGCCGCGUGAGUGAUGAAGGCCCUCGGGUCGUAAAGCUCUGUGGAGAGGGACGAAAACCCUGGUUUCAAAUAGGCUCCAGGCUUGACGGUACCUCUUUAGCAAGCACCGGCUAACUCUGUGCCAGCAGCCGACGG
rnacentral:rRNA from 1 species